CUGGAAAAGAAGAUUAUAAAUUAGAGUUAAUAACAAACAUCAUAGGAAUAAUAAUUGGAGCGGGAGCAGAAGAUUUGACCUGUGGGAUUUUGGAAAUAAUCACUGUGCUUAUUGAACUAAUUGAAAUCUAUUUUACUAUUAGAAGAUAGAUUAUAGGUUUUAAUUAGUAUAUUUAAUAAGACUCGGGAGAGAUUAUUAAAUAAUUUAGGAUUAUUUAUCUUUGCAUUAAU
rnacentral:lncRNA from 1 species